rnacentral:RNase_P_RNA from 1 species
CAGCUGCGGAUGCAGUUCCGAAAGGACGCACCCGAGGAAAGUCCGGGCUCCAUAGGGCAAGGAUAACGGCUAACGGCCGCCGGGGGUGACCCCAGGGAAAGUGCAACAGAGAUAUACCGCCUGUUUUUAACAGGUAAGGGUGGAAAGGCGAGGUAAGAGCUCACCGGCACACAGGAGACUGUGCUGCCCUGUAAACCCUAUCCGGAGCAACACCGCAAUAAAGCUUAACAUCGGCCCGAUGGCUUUGAUAAGGUGGCAUUGAGCAGCGGCGGCAACGCCCUGCCAAGAUAGAUGGCUGUUCACGACAGAACCCGGCUUAUCGUUUCACUCU